AUACGGAGGGUGCAAGCGUUGUUCGGAAUUAUUGGGCGUAAAGGGCAUGUAGGCGGACUGUUAAGUCUGGUGUGAAAGCCCGGGGCUCAACCCCGGAAGUGCAUUGGAUACUGGCAGUCUUGAGUAUGGGAGAGGAAAGUGGAAUUCCGAGUGUAGGAGUGAAAUCCGUAGAUAUUCGGAGGAACACCAGUGGCGAAGGCGGCUUUCUGGACCAAUACUGACGCUGAGAUGCGAAAGCGUGGGGAGCGAACAGGAUUAGAAACCCCAGUAGUCC
rnacentral:rRNA from 1 species